UUCUCCCUAUUCUUCUCUCCCGACCCAAGCUUCGCCCGAUUUCUCUUCUUCCAAUCUCCUCCACUACUCGUCGCUGCCGACCACUCUCUUCCCCACCCGAUCGCACGACGUUGCUCCAGCUAUCACUCGCCGGAGCAUCCAAACCCCUCUACCCCCUCACCUGAAGUCCACCCAUGGUUCUUCUCGUAAAAUAGCCGCUCCUUGUGUGUCAUCUUCGGCCGGAGAUCGACAGAUCAGAGCCCUAGAUCUGCCAGAGUGAAGCUUAGGUUCCAGCAGCAGAUCUUUGGGUUGUAUCGGCAUUCCGAAAGGUUGUCUUCCUUCCCGUGGCAUAACAUCCAUGUUUCACCGCCGAUUUCCUUCAUCACGUAUGCCCCAGUUCUUCUUGCUGACGCUAUUGAUCGCUCAGCACUUGAUGUAGCUUGGCCACCGGUUGUAUUUGUUUUGGCCGCUAGAAGCAUAUUUGGUUGUAGAUCCUUGGAUGUGGUGAUCAUAUCUACUGGAGCCCAGCCAUACAAUUGGAGGGAAGCUAAGGUGCAUGAUGUUUAGAUACAGGUAAAAGGAAAAUGGACUAGCAGUGGAGGCUGGAGGUCGGUGCAGAUGAGGAU